ACUUAAUUAUUAUAAAAAGUAUAUUAAGCUUCCAACUUAAAGGUUUAAUAAUUAAAUUAAGUA
rnacentral:tRNA from 1 species